GAAAAAUCUCUCCCCCAUCACCAGCCCAGUCCUUCCUGCCGUGAGGUCACAGCCCUGUCUUUGUGACACAGCUGUCUGUUGCCAUGGAAGUGUUUGUGCUUUCACAAAGUCAGCACAGCGAUGACUUCACAAGCAAGGUCAUGGAGGAGCAGAUGGGCUUGGGAGGAGG
rfam:Balearica pavonina gibbericeps contig101028, whole genome shotgun sequence.